rnacentral:rRNA from 1 species
AGUGAACGCUGGCGGUAGGCCUAACACAUGCAAGUCGAACGGCAGCACAGUAAGAGCUUGCUCUUACGGGUGGCGAGUGGCGGACGGGUGAGGAAUACAUCGGAAUCUACUUUUUCGUGGGGGAUAACGUAGGGAAACUUACGCUAAUACCGCAUACGACCUACGGGUGAAAGCAGGGGAUCUUCGGACCUUGCGCGAUUGAAUGAGCCGAUGUCGGAUUAGCUAGUUGGCGGGGUAAAGGCCCACCAAGGCGACGAUCCGUAGCUGGUCUGAGAGGAUGAUCAGCCACACUGGAACUGAGACGCGGUCCAGACUCCUGCGGGAGGCAGCAGUGGGGAAUAUUGGACAAUGGGCGCAAGCCUGAUCCAGCCAUACCGCGUGGGUGAAGAAGGCCUUCGGGUUGUAAAGCCCUUUUGUUGGGAAAGAAAAGCAGCAGGUUAAUACCCCGCUGUUCUGACGGUACCCAAAGAAUAAGCACCGGCUAACUUCGUG